GGCUUCUCUGAGCGUAUAUAAUAUAUAAAUCGACUUAUUUCGAGUUAUUGCCAUAGUAACGUAUACAUCACCAAGUCUUGAACUGAAGUUUGAAGAUUGUCGGAUCGUGAAUAAAAGCAAGCUGAUAAAAUGAAACUAAAGAUACACGUUGUCUACUGCGGUGCAUGAGGGUACGCCGCCAAGUACAGGGCCCUUAAAGAGGACCUGGAAGAGGAAUUCCCCGAACAAUUAGAAAUCACUGGCGAAGGUACUCCACAAGCUACCGGCUGGUUAGAGGUUCAGAUUGUUGGCGGCAAACUACUUCACUCCAAGAAGAAUGGGGAUGGAUAUGUUGAUAGUGAUAAGAAGCUGAAGAACAUAAUGGAUGGUGUAAGAGCAGCCUUAUAAACAAGAUUUAUCGUGGGAGACAAUUAAUUAUUGAAAUAUUUGAAUGGUUUAUGUGACGUCAUGAACAGUAUCUUGAUUAUGAUUGGCUGUGACUAAAGACCUAUGGGUCAUGUUGUAACCAGGAUGGACAAAGAUGGCUGUCAAUAUGACAUCAACGUACUUCAUUAAAAUAUUUCAUAUUUAUUGUCUGUUACUAAUUAUACAAUAUAUGUAUUUAUAAUAGAAGUUUAUUUUAUAUUUUAUUUUUUUAGAGUUCUUAUGAUUACCCCAAUCUGAGAAUAUUGAUUCUACCUCUUCAUUGGCAUUAUCAUGAAAUUUGUUCUUAGUUUUACUGCAUACAUUGUAAUUAUGUAAUAUAUAUAUUGAAUCUCGUGUAAUUGCAAAUUUAUUUACGUCAUACACCAAUAUUUUAAUACAUAAAUGUACCCAUAUAUAUUCCAGACAAACAUGACCAUUAAAAUAUAAAUAUAUGCAUAAUGAGUUUAUAAUAAAUUUUUUAUCUUGUGAAAUGUUCGUCUUUAGUUUGUUUGAUAUCAUGGUAGUCAGAUGUAAUGCCAGAUAUCCUCUGGCCAGGAUUUAUUUUUUUUUAGUUUUACCUGAUAUAAUGAAUUAAUACUCGGUAUUUUAAAGGAGCUAAAUCGCUAAUAUUUGGGACCCAGAAAUUGACAAAAAUGGGUCGCA